rfam:Triticum aestivum genome assembly, contig: Triticum_aestivum_CS42_TGACv1_scaffold_423571_5BS
AAAAUACUCCCUCUGUUCUAAAAUAUUUGUCAUCAAAAUGGAUAAAAAGAGAUGUAUAUAGAACUAAAAUACGUCUAGAUACAUCCCCUUUUAUCCAUUUUGAUGACAAGUAUUUCCGGAUGGAGGGAGUAGACA